rnacentral:rRNA from 1 species
GACGAACGCUGGCGGCGUGCUUAACACAUGCAAGUCGAACGGAAAGGCCCUGCUUUUGUGGGGUGCUCGAGUGGCGAACGGGUGAGUAACACGUGAGUAACCUGCCCUUGACUUUGGGAUAACUUCAGGAAACUGGGGCUAAUACCGGAUAGGAGCUCCUGCUGCAUGGUGGGGGUUGGAAAGUUUCGGCGGUUGGGGAUGGACUCGCGGCUUAUCAGCUUGUUGGUGGGGUAGUGGCUUACCAAGGCUUUGACGGGUAGCCGGCCUGAGAGGGUGACCGGCCAAAUUGGGACUGGGAUACGGCCCAGACCCCUACCGGAGGGAAGAGGGGGGAAUAUUGCACAAUGGGCGGAAGCCUGAUGCAGCAACGCCGCGUGCGGGAUGACGGCCUUCGGGUUGUAAACCGCUUUCGCCUGUGACGAAGCGUGAGUGACGGUAAUGGGUAAAGAAGCACCGGCUAACUACGUG